rnacentral:rRNA from 1 species
GCAGGUGGCAAGCGUUGUUCGGAUUUACUGGGCGUACAGGGAGCGUAGGCGGUUGGGUAAGCCCUCCGUGAAAUCUCCGGGCCUAACCCGGAAAGUGCGGAGGGGACUGCUCGGCUAGAGGAUGGGAGAGGAGCGCGGAAUUCCCGGUGUAGCGGUGAAAUGCGUAGAGAUCGGGAGGAAGGCCGGUGGCGAAGGCGGCGCUCUGGAACAUUUCUGACGCUGAGGCUCGAAAGCGUGGGGAGCAAAC